UACGGGGGGGGGGCAAGCGUUGUUCGGAAUUACUGGGCGUAAAGGGCUCGUAGGCGGCCAACUAAGUCAGACGUGAAAAUCCCCUCGGCUUAACCGGGGGAACUGCGUCUGAUACUGGAAGGCUUGAAUCCGGGAGAGGGGAUGCGGAAUUCCAGGUGUAGCGGUGAAAUGCGUAGAUAUCUGGAGGAACACCGGUGGCGAAGGCGGCAUCCUGGACCGGCAUUGACGCUGAGGGCGCGAAAAGCCAGGGGGGAGCAAAACGGGG
rnacentral:rRNA from 1 species